rnacentral:rRNA from 1 species
UACGUAGGGGGCAAGCGUUGUCCGGAAUCAUUGGGCGUAAAGCGCGUGUAGGCGGCCAGAAAAGUCCGCUGUGAAAACUCGAGGCUCAACCUCGAGCUGUCGGUGGAAACUUUCUGGCUAGAGUCCGGAAGAGGAGAAUGGAAUUCCUGGUGUAGCGGUGAAAUGCGCAGAUAUCAGGAAGAACACCCGUGGCGAAGGCGGUUCUCUGGGACGGUACUGACACUGAGGCUCGAAGGCCAGGGGAGCAAACGGG